rnacentral:rRNA from 1 species
AUUGAACGCUGGCGGCAUGCUUUACACAUGCAAGUCGAACGGCAGCACGGGUGCUUGCACCUGGUGGCGAGUGGCGAACGGGUGAGUAAUACAUCGGAACGUGUCCUUAAGAGGGGGAUAACGCGGCGAAAGUUGCGCUAAUACCGCAUAUACUCUGAGGAGGAAAGCGGGGGACCGAAAGGCCUCGCGCUUAAGGGGCAGCCGAUGUCAGAUUAGCUAGUUGGUGGGGUAAAGGCCUACCAAGGCGACGAUCUGUAGCGGGUCUGAGAGGAUGAUCCGCCACACUGGGACUGAGACACGGCCCAGACUCCUACGGGAGGCAGCAGUGGGGAAUUUUGGACAAUGGGGGCAACCCUGAUCCAGCCAUGCCGCGUGAGUGAAGAAGGCCUUCGGGUUGUAAAGCUCUUUCAGAUGGGAAGAAAAGGUUCAGGUGAAUAAUCUGGAUUGAUGACGGUACCGUCAGAAGAAGCACCGGCUAACUACGUGCCAGCAGCCGCGGUAACAC